AAACAAUUAUCAGAAGAUUUC
rnacentral:miRNA from 1 species